AAAAAAAAACCUCGUGUACGGGCUGUUAAAGCACGCUCUAAAGACUACUAAACUCGGCGUGCAUGAAGUGAUGAGAGAAUUGAAACACUUUUUGGUAGAUAUAUUAGACACGUGAUUGUGAUGGUAAGCUCAAUUCGUAAGUCUUCUGACAGUCUGCGGUCACGUACUGACACUCUUGCAGCUGCUCACACAAUCUGUACAGCCACUCCCGCAGUCUGUACUGCUGUUAGCGCCUACUCAUGUAGGAUGUCUUGCCACUCUUACCGUCCAUAGUGCCACUCUUGUGUUCUGUCUCUCGUGGACUGUACAGACUCUCUCGCGGCACUCUGCUGCCGCUCCCUCUGCACUCUUGCGUAACGUACCUUCACCAGCACAAAGUGGCACUCACGCGGCCCGUUCUGCUGCCAUCGCAGUCUUUCCACCAGAGCAUUAUCGAUUAGUAGUCGGGCUGCGGUGCGGCAUGGAACAAGUGUACUCAUCGCCGUACUUCUGUUCCGAAAACACACAUCAAACCGAAAUCGUGUCCCAAACGACGUACUGUUCGUGUACUUACACUAUGCACUAUGACCUCUACCGGAAGCAGAUCUACAAGCUGUAUAGAUUUGAAUGUCAUCGGCAUAACGGUGGUAACUGAAGCCGUGGCAGCGAAUAAGUUGACCCGGUGGGAGUGUUUGGUAGAGGUCCAAGAACUGAUCCCUGAGGGACACCUGAUUUCAUAGCGACAGUAGGCGACUGUUAGUCCUGCAUUGAAAUGUAAAGCGGUCUAUCCGUAAGAUAUGAAGUAAGCCUGCAAAGAGCAGCACCCGUGACACCAAUAUCCGAGAGGCAGGAGAGAAGUAAGUCAUGACGGACCGUAUCGAACCAGAUGGAAAGAGAACCAUAGUCACACUUUAUAGUUCCCUUUUUUCUUUUUAUUGGACACGCUGGCAUGGCACUGCUGGACACUAUAGUGUUACUGAACUGCAGUGGUGGAUGGACUGGAGAGCGAGAGAGAGCGAGCGAGAGAGAGAGAGAGAGGUCGACUGUGAAGACCGCCAACAGAGAAAAUUGAAGGGUCUCCUUGGCAGAAAGGGAGACCAAUCAGGAUGCGCUG
ensembl:lncRNA